UGCUGAAUACAACAGGUGUAGUAGACCUUACAGUGAAAUGCUGAAUACAACAGGUGUAGUAGACCUUACAGUGAAAUGCUGAACAGAACAGGUGUAGUAGACCUCACUGUGAAAUGCUGAAUACAACAGGUGUAGUAGACCUUACAGUGAAAUGCUUAAUACAACAGGUGUAGUAGACCUCACAGUGAAAUGCUGAAUACAACAGGUGUAGUAGACCUUACAGUGAAAUGCUUAAUACAACAGGUGUAGUAGACCUCAAAGUGAAAUGCUGAAUACAACAGGUGUAGUAGACCUUACAGUGAAAUGCUGAAUACAACAGGUGUAGUAGACCUCACUGUGAAAUGCUGAAUACAACAGGUGUAGUAGACCUCACAGUGAAAUGCUGAAUACAACAGGUGUAGUAGACCUUACAGUGAAAUGCUGAAUAGAACAGGUGUAGUAGACCUCACUGUGAAAUGCUGAAUACAACAGGUGUAGUAGACCUUACAGUGAAAUGCUGAAUAGAACAGGUGUAGUAGACCUCACAGUGAAAUGCUGAAUACAACAGGUGUAGUAGACCUUACAGUGAAAUGCUUAAUACAACAGGUGUAGUAGACCUCAAAGUGAAAUGCUGAAUACAACAGGUGUAGUAGACCUUACAGUGAAAUGCUGAAUACAACAGGUGUAGUAGACCUCAAAGUGAAAUGCUGAAUACAACAGGUGUAGUAGACCUUACAGUGAAAUGCUGAAUACAACAGGUGUAGUAGACCUCAAAGUGAAAUGCUGAAUACAACAGGUGUAGUAGACCUUACAGUGAAAUGCUGAAUACAACAGGUGUAGUAGACCUCACUGUGAAAUGCUGAAUACAACAGGUGUAGUAGACCUCACAGUGAAAUGCUGAAUACAACAGGUGUAGUAGACCUUACAGUGAAAUGCUGAAUAGAACAGGUGUAGUAGACCUCACUGUGAAAUGCUGAAUACAACAGGUGUAGUAGACCUCACAGUGAAAUGCUGAAUACAACAGGUGUAGUAGACCUUACAG